UACGUAGGGGGGCAAGCGUUGUCCGGAUUUAUUGGGCGUAAAGAGCGUGUAGGCGGCUUGGUAGGUCCGCUGUGAAAACUCGAGGCUCAACCUCGAGAUGUCGGCGGAAACCACUUGGCUAGAGUCCGGAAGAGGAGAGUGGAAUUCCCGGUGUAGCGGUGAAAUGCGCAGAUAUCGGGAAGAACACCUAUGGCGAAGGCAGCUCUCUGGGACGGUACUGACGCUGAGACGCGAAAGCGUGGGGAGCGAACAGG
rnacentral:rRNA from 1 species